AACGAACGCUGGCGGCAUGCCUAACACAUGCAAGUCGAACGAACCCUUCGGGGUUAGUGGCGCACGGGUGCGUAACGCGUGGGAAUCUGCCCUUGGCUUCGGAAUAACAGUUCGCCCUGACUGCUAAUACCGGAUGAUGACGAAAGUCCAAAGAUUUAUCGGCCAGGGAUGAGCCCGCGUAGGAUUAGGUAGUUGGUGGGGUAAAGGCCUACCAAGCCGACGAUCCUUAGCUGGUCUGAGAGGAUGAUCAGCCACACUGGGACUGAGACACGGCCCAGACUCCUACGGGAGGCAGCAGUGGGGAAUAUUGGACAAUGGGGGAAACCCUGAUCCAGCAAUGCCGCGUGAGUGAUGAAGGCCUUAGGGUUGUAAGGCUCUUUUACCCGGGAUGAUAAUGACAGUACCGGGAGAAUAAGCUCCGGCGAACUCCGUGCCAGCCGCCGCAGUAA
rnacentral:rRNA from 1 species